CCGACGGUGAGGGAUGAAGGCCUCUGGGCUGUAAACCUCUUUUAUCAAGGAAGAAGAUCUGACGGUACUUGAUGAAUAAGCCACGGCUAAUUCCGUGCCAGCAGCCGCGGUAAUACGGGAGUGGCAAGCGUUAUCCGGAAUUAUUGGGCGUAAAGCGUCCGCAGGCGGCCCAACAAGUCUGCUGUUAAAAAGUGGAGCUUAACUCCAUCAUGGCAGUGGAAACUGUUGGGCUAGAGUGUGGUAGGGGCAGAGGGAAUUCCCGGUGUAGCGGUGAAAUGCGUAGAUAUCGGGAAGAACACCAGUGGCGAAGGCGCUCUGCUGGGCCAUCACUGACGCUCAUGGACGAAAGCCAGGGGAGCGAAAGGGAUUAGAUACCCCUGUAGUCCUGGCCGUAAACGAUGAACACUAGGUGUCGGGGGAAUCGACCCCUCCGGUGUCGUAGCCAACGCGUUAAGUGUUCCGCCUGGGGAGUACGCACGCAAGUGUGAAACUCAAAGGAAUUGACGGGGGCCCGCACAAGCGGUGGAGUAUGUGGUUUAAUUCGAUGCAACGCGAAGAACCUUACCAGGGUUUGACAUCCUGCGAAUCUCUUGGAAACUUGAGAGUGCCUUCGGGAACGCAGUGACAGGUGGUGCAUGGCUGUCGUCAGCUCGUGUCGUGAGAUGUUGGGUUAAGUCCCGCAACGAGCGCAACCCACGUCUUUAGUUGCCAGCAUUUAGUUGGGCACUCUAGAGAGACCGCCGGUGAUAAACCGGAGGAAGGUGUGGAUGACGUCAAGUCAUCAUGCCCCUUACAUCCUGGGCUACACACGUACUACAAUGCUACGGACAAAGGGCAGCAAGUUCGCGAGGACAGCAAAUCCCAUAAACCGUAGCUCAGUUCAGAUCGUAGCUGCAACUCGCCUACGUGAAGGAGAUCGCUAGUAAUCGCAGUCAGCAUACUGCGGUGAUACGUUCCCGGCUUGCACACACCGCCGUAAGGC
rnacentral:rRNA from 1 species